GGGGAAUCUUGCACAAUGGGCGAAAGCCUGAUGCAGCGACGCCGCGUGCGGGAUGAAGGCCUUCGGGUUGUAAACCGCUUUCAGCAGGGACGAGGCGAAAGUGACGGUACCUGCAGAAGAAGCCCCGGCUAACUACGUGCCAGCAGCCGCGGUAAUACGUAGGGGGCAAGCGUUAUCCGGAUUCAUUGGGCGUAAAGCGCUCGUAGGCGGUCUGUUAGGUCGGGAGUUAAAUCCGGGGGCUCAACCCCCGUUCGCUCCCGAUACCGGCAGACUUGAGUUUGGUAGGGGAAGGUGGAAUUCCUAGUGUAGCGGUGGAAUGCGCAGAUAUUAGGAAGAACACCAGUGGCGAAGGCGGCCUUCUGGGCCGUAACUGACGCUGAGGAGCGAAGGCUAGGGGAGCAAACAGGAUUAGAUACCCUGGUAGUCCUAGCCGUAAACGAUGGACACUAGGUGUGGGGGAAUAUUUCUUCCGUGCCGCAGCUAACGCAUUAAGUGUCCCGCCUGGGGAGUACGGCCGCAAGGCUA
rnacentral:rRNA from 1 species